GGCUAGUUUACAUGUCUUCCUACUCAGCUUGCUGGCUUUUGUGGAUCCCAUUAUUAGGCACUUAACUCUCCCCGUGCAUUGUAUGGGGAGCCUGGG